GACGAACGCUGGCGGCGUGCUUAACACAUGCAAGUCGAACGGAAAGGCCCUGCUCUUGUUGGGUGCUCGAGUGGCGAACGGGUGAGUAACACGUGAGUAACCUGCCCUUCCCUUUGGGAUAACUUAAGGACACUGGGGCUUAUCCCGGAUAGGAGCUCCUGCUGCUUUGUGGGGGUUGGUCAGUUUCGGCGGUUGGGGCUGGACUCGCGGCUUAUCCGCUUGUUGGUGGGGUAGUGGCUUACCAAGGCUUCGACGGGUAGCCGGCCUGAGAGGGUGACCGGCCACAUUGGGACUGAGAUACGACGCAGACGCGUACGGGAGGCAGCAGUGGGGAAUAUUGCACAGUGGGCGGAAGCCGGAUGCGGCAGCGCCGCGUGCGGGAUGACGGCCUUUGGGUUGUAAACCACUUUCGCCUGUGACGAAGCGGGAUUGACGGUAAUUGGUAAAGAAGCACCGGCUAACUACGUG
rnacentral:rRNA from 1 species